rnacentral:rRNA from 1 species
GCUCAGAACGUACGCUGGCGGCACGCCUAACACAUGCAAGUCGAACGAAGUAGCAAUACUUAGUGGCAGACGGGUGAGUAACAUGUAGGUAUCUACCCUUUGGCCUGGAAUAACACGAGGAAACUUGUGCUAAUACCGGAUAAGUCUUUACGGAGAAAGCUUUAUGCACCAUUGGAGGAGCCUGCACUAGAUUAGUUUGUUGGUGGGGUAAUGGCCUACCAAGACUGUGAUCUAUAGCUGAUUUGAGAGGAUGAUCAGCCACAUUGGGACUGAGACACGGCCCAAACUCCUACGGGAGGCAGCAGUGGGGAAUCUUGCACAAUGGAGGAAACUCUGAUGCAGCGAUGCCGCGUGAGUGAAGAAGGCCUUUGGGUUGUAAAGCUCUUUCGUCGGGGAAGAAAAUGACUGUACCCGAAUAAGAAGGUCCGGCUAACUUCGUGCCAGCAGCCGCGGUAAUACGAAGGGACCUAGCGUAGUUCGGAAUUACUGGGCUUAAAGAGUUCGUAGGUGGUUGAAAAAGUUGGUGGUGAAAUCCCAGAGCUUAACUCUGGAACUGCCAUCAAAACUUUUCAGCUAGAGUAUGAUAGAGGAAAGCAGAAUUUCUAGUGUAGAGGUGAAAUUCGUAGAUAUUAGAAAGAAUACCAAUUGCGAAGGCAGCUUUCUGGAUCAUUACUGACACUGAGGAACGAAAGCAUGGGUAGCGAAGAGGAUUAGAUACCCUCGUAGUCCAUGCCGUAAACGAUGUGUGUUAGACGUUGGAAAUUUAUUUUCAGUGUCGCAGCGAAAGCGAUAAACACACCGCCUGGGGAGUACGACCGCAAGGUUAAAACUCGAAUGAAUUGACGGGGACCCGCACAAGUAGUGGAGCAUGGGUUUUAAUUCGAAGAUACGCGCAGAACCUUACCAACACUUGACAUGUUCGUCGCGAGACUAAGA